rnacentral:rRNA from 1 species
CCUACGGGGUGCAGCAGUGGGGGAUAUUGCACAAUGGGGGAAACCCUGAUGCAGCGAAGCCGCGUGGGUGAAGAAGCGCCUAGGCGCGUAAAGCCCUGUCAGCAGGGAAGAAAAUGACGGUACCUGAAGAAGAAGCCCCGGCUAACUACGUUCCAGCAGCCGCGGUACUACGUAGGGGGCAAGCGUUAUCCGGAUUUACUGGGUGUAAAGGGGGCGCAGACGGCGAUGCAAGCCAGGAGUGAAAGCCCGGGGCCCAACCCCGGGACUGCUCUUGGAACUGCGUGGCUAGAGUGCAGGAGGGGCAGGCGGAAUGCCUGGUGUAGCGGUGAAAUGCGUAGAUAUCAGGAUGAACACCGGUGGCGAAGGCGGCCUGCUGGACUGCAACUGACGUUGAGGCCCGAAAGCGUGGGGAGCAAACAGGAUUAGAUACCCGUGUAGUC